GUGACCGGAUGUGCAUAAUCGAGCACUCCGGCCCGUCGUGACUCGCGUCAUCGCCCUCUUUCAAUUUUCCUUGCAGCAUGGCAGCAACAAAGGUCAAAAUCAUGCAGAGUAAUCUUUUUAUAGCUCCUGAUGAUGGCGCAGGUGCUUCAAUUAGCGAGCUGUCUGUCAAGUGACAAUGGGGAAUUCCAACCGACCUUCUGUCCAACAAUUUUCAUAAAGAAUCCACACAAGAAGAAAUGUUAGUAGUGCCAUGACCAUGUUUGUUCAACGCACCGUGGCCUCCUCAGGGUUCUCACAUCCUAAACUAAUAAGAGUUCACAAGACGGUGAUGCUGUAAGCACAGUUGGUGCCGCCAUCUGACUGGUACAUGGAGGAUCACUAAUUAAGCUGAUUUCUACGAAGGUGCAGAACUGCUGUAAGAGAUUUUAGAUGCAGUAGAUUCAGCUGUCAUCUGUCCGACCUGUCCCCUGUAGGCGCUUCAGCUGUCAAGCUCUGCAGACCCACGGAAUCAAUGAAAAGGUGUUGAUGCAUGUCGUUCUGUCUCUGCAAAUGGCAGCGUUGUUGUGUAUGUGCUGCAAGUGUUGUUUGCACAUAGGGACAGCUAAGAGCCAUGCUUUAUGCUGAAAGAAAAAUUAAACAAGGUCAGAUAUAUUGUUAAUAUACAAUGGGCUUGAUCUAGGGCAGUGGUCUCCAACCUUAAUUGGGUGUGAGCUACUCGAGAAAAAUGAAACCACCUAAAGAGCUAAAUGUGUUAGGAAGA